rnacentral:rRNA from 1 species
CCUACGUGAGGCAGCAGUGAGGAAUAUUGGUCAAUGGGCGCGAGCCUGAACCAGCCAAGUAGCGUGAAGGAUGACUGCCCUACGGGUUGUAAACUUCUUUUAUAAAGGAAUAAAGUGAGGCACGUGUGCCUUUUUGUAUGUCCUUUAUGAAUAAGGAUCGGCUAACUCCGUGCCAGCAGCCGCGGUAAUACGGAGGAUCCGAGCGUUAUCCGGAUUUAUUGGGUGUAAAGGGAGCGUAGAUGGGUUGUUAAGUCAGUUGUGAAAGUUUGCGGCUCAACCGUAAAAUUGCAAUUGAUACUGGCAGUCUUGAGUACAGUUGAGGUAGGCGGAAUUCGUGGUGUAGCGGUGAAAUGCUUAGAUAUCACGAAGAACUCCGAUUGCGAAGGCAGCUUACUAAACUGCCACUGACAUUGAUGCUCGAAAGUGUGGGUAUCAAACAGGAUUAGAUACCCGUGUAGUC